GCAGCCCGCGCCCGCCCGCCGCAAGUUUGUUCCCCGCCGCUGCGGCCUGCGCGGAGAGAGGAUCGCGCGCGGGGAGGCGCCGAGGGGCAGCAAGAGUGGAGAAAGUGCGGAAAGAAGCAACAGCCGCUCCACCCGCGGGCGGAAAAGUGGCCGGGCGCGGCGGCGGGAUGCGGCGCAGCUAACGGUCCCCGGCGGCCGCCGGAGCCGCUAGGCGCAGAGGCAGCUCACAAGUGUAGGGCUGGAGCUACAGGAACCAUCCAGGUGCACUGGCUUUGCCUCUGCGUCUUUCUGUGCCACUGUCUCAUUCUGUUUCCGGCUGUGCGUGGAUGCAGAUGACCCAGAGAGAUAAAGAACACGGAGGAGAAGGUUAGAGACCUGCAGUUCCACCAAGCUCUUGCUUGGCUAUUAAUUGCAUCCAGCUAUGUUGGUGCUGUCAUAGUCCCACCUGGGGUCAUUGUUAAUAACACUCGUCAAGAACUGUGUGGGAACUUCUGCCUCCUUAAAGGGCUUUAGAACUCAUAUGAUAUGUACUCACUGAUAAGUGGAUAUUAGCCCAGAAACUUAGAAUAAAUACCCAAGAUACAAUUUCCAAGACACAUGAAACUCAAGAAGAACGAAGACCAAAGUGUGGACACUUUGCCCCUUCUUAGAAUUGGGAACAAAACACCCAUGGAAGGAGUUAUGGAGACAAAGUUUGGAGCUGAGACGAAAUGAUGGACCAUCCAGAGACUGCCACACCCGGGGAUCCAUCCCAUAAUCAACCAUCAAACGCAGACACUAUUGCAUGCGCCAGCAAGAAUUUGCUGAAAGGACCCUGAUAUAGCUGUCUCUUGUGAGGCUAUGCUAGUGCCUGGCAAACACAGAAGUGGAUGCUCACAGUCAGCUAUUGGAUGGANNNNNNNNNNNNNNNNNNNNNNNNNNNNNNNNNNNNNNNGCAACCCUAUAGGUGGAACAACAAUAUGAACUAACCAGUACCCCCAGAGCUCGUGUCUCUAGCUGCAUAUGUAGAAGAAGAUGACCUAGUCGGCCAUCAUUGGGAAGAGAGGGUCCUUGGUCUUGCAAACUUUAUAUGCCCCAGUACAGGGGAACACCAGGGCCAGGAAGUAGGAGUGAGUGGGUAGGGGAGUCGGGGGUGUAUAGGCAACUUUCAAGGUAGCAUUUGAAAUGUAAAUGAAGAAAAUUCCUAAUAAAAAUUGGAAAAAUAAAAAAUAAUAAUUAGGAAGCUAACCUAUUGUUAUAAAAGUGCAAUAGCAACAGUUUAAAGGGUGUUGUGUUCUUUGCUAAUUAGGAUCUCACUUGAUCUCCGUAACAGUACAAUGACUGGAAGAUCCCUUGGAAACUGCGGGUCUUAGAGGUUACUAAACCAAUCUGUCCAGCCUAGGGUGGUCAGGGAUGGGGACACAGUGUGCUGUUGGGUUGAGGUGACUACAACCCAGGCCUUAACGGACAUCUAAAAUAUUUAACCCAAAGUGAUUUGGGCUAGUUAUGGAAAGUGAAGUGUGUAACAGUGCUGACCAAGUGCAGACACCAUGUGUCUGGGUGAGAACUUGUCAUUUAGUGGCUUAGUGUCCUUUGCCUUGUUUAUUUCUCCUGAUCUCUGAAGAGCUGCCCAGGUGGAACAAGGCAAGUCAUACCUCAAGGUUAUUGAUAGGGAAGUAGAUAUUGUUAGCUUAGAAGGUAGAUAUCUGCCCAGCUCUGGUACUUUAAAGGCAUAUUAUAAAUAUAAAGGUUUUUUUUAUCUUUUGUCUGGGAACUGAACAAUCAAAGGUGGGGUUAGAGAUUAUUACCACACUCGAUCCUCCAUUCUCCAUGAAAUACACCCCUUCUAAACCUGGAGGACCCUAUCCUUGCUUGGCUUCUCUGACACUCUCAAGCAACUCCUUGUCAGGCCCUCUUAGUUGUUGACCUCCCUACACUGCAUGCCAGAGAGCCAGGCUCUGCCCCAGAUUCUUUACAGUUUCUCUCUCCACUUCGUUUUUCUGAUUCUCAUCUUCAUACCAGAGACUUAAUAUCUGCCUGCCAAUGAAUUAUAUCUAAGGUCUUAAGAUGGUCGUCAGCACCUACAAUUGCCCCACCUUAGAUGAGAUACUCUUUCUUUCCUGUCCUUCACUCUUUCCUAGCUGCACCAGCCUUGUGCCAUUCCUUGAAAUGCCAGACACAUUCCUACCUUGGCACAGAAGCCUACUUCUAAAUCCAAAUUGGAAUGCUCUCAUGAAAAUGUGGUACAUUGAUCAAUACUAAUUUUUAAAUGCUCUUAUUAAAGGAAUUCAUAAUGUAA
rnacentral:lncRNA from 1 species